GGUUUUAUAGUCAAAAAUGAUAUUAAAUUGCAAAUUUAAAGGAAAGUUAAUCUUUAAAGCCU
rnacentral:tRNA from 1 species